UCUUCACAGGAAUGUAGGCGAUUAGCCACGGAGCCCUUCUCUGUCUAGCAUCAGGCAUCAGACGCCCAACUAUACAGAGGCCAUUUGAAUGGAACUGCAGAAUAAUCUUCAGAAGAAAAAGCAAGCUCACAUGAGUGGCAGCAGCCCAUUGUGCUGAGUUAAAGACGCUGGAGAGAGUCUGGUUGGCGGUGGGGAGGUGUGGUGUUGAUGACAAUGAUGGGGCCGUGGCUGGAGAGGUUAAUGUCAGUCUCACAGACCCUGUGUAAUUAGUAUUCCUUAUUACAUCCUAAUUAAAGACCCUUAACAUCUUAAAAUUUUAAGUAUUUUUGUUUUGUUAGAAGCAGAAGACAUUUAAAUCCUUUAAACCCAAACACUAUUGGGAACUCCAAUAUAUAAAACCAAUAAUAUCCAAAAUUUAUAUAGCAUUUUCUGUGUAUGAGGUUUUAUUUAUACUAAUGUAUUUAAUCUCCAUAACCCUAUAAAAAGUAUUAUUGUCAUCUCUACUUACAGGUGUGGAAAUUGAGUAACAGAAAAAUUAACUUGCCAAGAUAACACAGCUAGUAAAUAGUAGAGCUGUGAUUUGAAGCCAGGCAGUGAACUUCAGAAAUCCUUUCUGUUGAUGUGGGGAGUGGAGGACUCCAGACCCUGCCCAUUUGGCCUUGCCUCGUCUCUUUUUACUCUAGAAAAUGCUGUGGCUCUAUCAAAUACAGCUCAAAAAGCUACUCAUCCAGUUCAACUCUCUCCUUUGAAAGAUGAAGAUAUUGAGACCCAGAGAGGUGGAUACCCUGAGGUGGAGAAGAGACUGAAUAUGCCCACUGCAUCCAAAGCAAGGCUGGAGCUGACUUGAGCUUACUUGGCUUCAUAAAGCUUGAACACCAUAGAUGCUUUUAUAUGUCUUUCCUGUUCGAUUACUCUGGAUAGAGUGUGCUACUCCUAACACAAAGCAAAACCAAACCAAAAAACAAACCUCUCUUUUUCAUUUCCUUAAAGAAAAAAGAAAUUUAAUUUGGAUUCAGAUAAUACCCUUAUAACUUCUAAGGCAGUCAAGCAAGGAGGGGAACAGAUAAUUAGGAGAUGAUGGGAGCCAGCACAAAGCCAAAUGGAAGAAAACAGGCACACAGUAAGGCGGCAAAAGCCACCACCUAAUCCAUUAACAGCCUGCACUAUAAUUACGCUUGGCUCUGGCAUUAAACUGGUGAAAGCACAAAGGAGACACUAUUAAAGUCUUAAUUCCCACAAAAGGAAGCUCAUCCUGUGUAACAGCAAGUACUGUGCACCAAAGCGGCACCUAAAUGAAUAUUAUGGCAAAUUCUAAUUUAGCACUUAGUAGGAGCAUUCCACAAAAUUGCAAAAAUAAAGAGGAAGAAAGCUGAACGUGGUAAUUCAUGCCUGUAGUCCCAGCUACUCAGGAGGCUGAGGCAGGAGGAUUGCCUGAGCCCAAGAGUUUGAGGCUAGCCUGGACAACAUAGCAAGACUUUCAUCUCUACACAAAAUUAUUAGCUGGAUGUGGUGGCAUGUACCUGUAGUACCAGCUGGUCGAGAGGCUGAGACAAGAAGAUUGCUUGAGCCCAGGAGUUCAAAGUCAGCCUGGGCAACAUAGCGAGACCCUGUUUCUCAAAAAUAAUUAGAAAAAUAAAUAAAGGAGAAGAAAAGA